UGGGGAAUUUUGGACAAUGGGCGAAAGCCUGAUCCAGCAAUGCCGCGUGUGUGAAGAAGGCCUUCGGGUUGUAAAGCACUUUUGUCCGGAAAGAAAUCCUUGGCUCUAAUACAGUCGGGGGAUGACGGUACCGGAAGAAUAAGCACCGGCUAACUACGUGCCAGCAGCCGCGGUAAUACGUAGGGUGCAAGCGUUAAUCGGAAUUACUGGGCGUAAAGCGUGCGCAGGCGGUUUGCUAAGACCGAUGUGAAAUCCCCGGGCUCAACCUGGGAACUGCAUUGGUGACUGGCAGGCUAGAGUAUGGCAGAGGGGGGUAGAAUUUCACGUNUAGCAGUGAAAUGCGUAGAGAUGUGGAGGAACACCGAUGGCGAAGGCAGCCCCCUGGGCCAAUACUGACGCUCAUGCACGAAAGCGUGGGGGAGCAAACAGGAUUAGAUACCCUGGUAGUCCACGCCCUAAAACGAUGUCAACUAGUUGUUGGGGAUUCAUUUCCUUAGUAACGUAGCUAACGCGUGAAGUUGACCGCCU
rnacentral:rRNA from 1 species